UGGGGAAUAUUGGGCAAUGGGCGCAAGCCUGACCCAGCAACGCCGCGUGAGGGAAGAAGGCUUUCGGGUUGUAAACCUCUGUCCUUGGUGACGAAAAAAAUGACGGUAGCCAAGGAGGAAGCCCCGGCUCACUACGUGCCAGCAGCCGCGGUAAUCCGUAGGGGGCGAGCGUUGUCCGGAAUUACUGGGCGUAAGGGGUGCGUAGGUGGCCUUUUAAGUUGGAUGUGAAAUACCCGGGCUUAACUUGGGGGGUGCAUCUAAUACUGGAGGGCUAGAGUGCAGUAGAGGGAAGCGGAAUUCCUAGUGUAGCGGUGAAAUGCGUAGAUAUUAGGAGGAACACCAGUGGCGAAGGCGGCUUUCUGGACUGUAACUGACACUGAGGCACGAAAGCGUGGGGAGCAAACA
rnacentral:rRNA from 1 species